GUUUUUUUUUUUUUUCCAAAAAGAAAUUUAGAAAAAGCUCAGCACAUGUUAGAGUUUUACUUUUAUAUCGCACCAGCUCUUUUCUGGUUUGGCAGUGUGAUUAGACUGUGACAAGAGGAGGAAGCUUACAACUCUCUCCGGUCUUAAAGGUGCAACUGGAGAAGAGUGAAAAUACGAACGUUUUGAAGGUUUGCUUUGCACAGAGCUGAUCAUCAGUAAAUAUUUAUUCAGCAACAGAAAGUGAGACAAGGGAAGAAAGAAAACAGAGAAGGAAGGAAGAGCGCGAACGAGGAUAUGCAGACGUGUCUAAGCUUUUAUGGGAAAGCAGAGGCCUCCUUCCCAGCGUCCUUCCAUAUAUGGUGGCCACGGUCACGCCUCACGGACCCACCAGACAGCUCUCUGUCCUACCGAGAGGGGGCCACCAAGAACUGUUUCUGUGGAGCCCAGGAACACGUGGGACUACACGGCCUCCAGGUGGGAAGAGAGAACACCUGGUUCUGAACUUCCGAGAGCUGGACAAGAGCCUGAAAGACAAGUGUGCUCAUCAGUUUGGUCUCUUAGGCGUUAUUGAGACAUAGCCUUAUCGUUACCAACUUCCUGUUUGUAUAACCUGUGCACUGCAAGUGGCAUAUGAAUCGUCAGUGAUUUGAUGGUAUCUGUGGGUAAAAGGCUGACACACGUAUGCCUAUAAACAGACACCCGCGCGUCCGUCUUCCCUGCCUCUGAGACGGUCUGUCCGUAGACAGAGGCACGCGGGACCUUGAGGAACCACACGCAGCUCCCCCCGAGGGGAGUCCCUCCCCAACCCUGCAGGGGGAUCUUUGCAAGGAAAGUUAGGGGCCGUGAAACCAAAUGGUUUAGGGACUAUUCCUCUGUUGGAAAGGACACAGGAGAAGCAGCUGUCCUUGGGAUCUGUCGCAGCAGGCAUCUGCUUGGACUGGAGAGAAACAGCAAAGUGGAGGGGUCUGUCUGCUGGGUGGGGGUCCCUGGAGCCAAGAUGCGCCACAUAUGGCUCCUGUGGGCCAUCUCCGGGAAGGCGGAGCAGUGUGGAAGGAAGCAGAGGCAGCCGCCAGGGCUAGGCCUGAGCGUGAGCCGUGGAGGAGAGCGUGGCUCCCCUCUGUCCUUGUGCUCUGCCCCAUCCGGCCACACCAGGUGUGAGUAAGAACAAGCCAACGAGGUGCCACGGGGGGACGGCGAGGCCUGCAGAAAGAGCCCAGGCUUGGCAGAAAGACCUUCUGGAUCUACCCCUGCCUGGCGGUCUGACCUCACCUGAAUCUGCAGCCGGCUGGCCGAGAACUGGCCAAAUAGAACAAAAAGAACGGAAAACAAAAAGAACAAAAAGAAUAUCCAACCGCCUCUGGACACCAGUUCAGUCAGAGAGCGUCCAUCAGUUUGUGGCGGAGAGCCAGGAGAGGCUGGUGGGCAGGGGCUCCGCUGGUGACUCGUUGUCUGUCCUGGGACAAGGUGCUUCCUUCGAGAAGCCUCCAGAAUCCUCAUUUGCAAAGAAGCAAGGGGUGGGAGCCAUCUGCUCAUUGGGAGGAUUGAAUUAGGUGGUGAAAAGAGAGCGCAAGCCUAGCGCCCGGAAGAGGGGUCAUUAUGAUUGCUAUAACCUAGCUAUGGCAGCCCCUCAUUUUCUGUCUCCAAGCGCUUGCUUGGUCGUUGAAGGGGAGACAUCAGGAAGUGGGGGAGUGGUUAUGCUAACUGCAAGUUGCUCUAUGAAGGGGAAAGUAGGGGUGGGAUCCACUCCCACCACUGUGAUACCUAGGAUCUCCCCACGUGGGGCAUCUCUUUCUAAAUUUGCACCUUGGCACAACAUGGGUUGGCAGAGGUCCUAGAAUGAAGGGGUCCCCACCACCCUGAAAUGUGAUCUAGGAGGGAAUACAGUUCUUCCCCUUGAGCCUAGCCAAGUUUCAGGAAAGUAAGGAUGAUUCUCGGUCAUACCCUCUUUUCCUGGGUGCCCCCAGCUUUCCUGAUCUCCUCGGCACAGCCGUGGCCUCGUUGUUUCACUCCCACCCCUGUGCCCGGCUGACUACAGCGGAGGUGAGUCAAGGUUCCUGGCCACAGAGAUGGUCAAAUCUCUAAGCAGACCCUGAAACUUGGUCCACCAUGGUUCCCUUGUGCCACAUGAACCCAGGGACCCAUACACUCCAGGUGUAAACAGGGGGAUACCUCUCAGGUCUCUCUCUCCCUCUCUUUCUCUCAAUCCAGCACGACUUCCUUUCUCUACAGCCCUUUCUUCCGGGUCCUUCAGCCUAGGGCCUCCAGCCCCUCCCUCAGGAGAUUUCAUGCUUCCCCAAGGAGAAGAGAUUCUAGAGCUCCUUCCUCAAGGCUGAAGCUUCAGGUUUGAUUGAUGGACAUGAGUCCCUCUUUCAGGUGUUCUGCACUAGGAAAGGGGGAUGAAGAUGAGGGCUCAAGUCCUAGGAGUUGGGAGUGGGGGGAGGUACCAUUUCUACAGCUGUGUCCUGACCAGCCAGGCUGGAGGCCGAUUACCUUAGGCGUCUGAGAAGCAGCACAGGGAGCUGGGGCUGGUGUUUCACUCUCUGGGGCCAGAGCCAUCUCAGUUUGCUCUGGGAAAAGAACAUUCCUUCUGUUCCCAUGCAUGGGACCUUGCCCCUCGAGAAACAAGAACCCUAGCAUUAUCGGGCUGAGAAGUGCGUGAGUCUCUCCUAGACCUGGCUUUGAUUCUAAAUGAGAACACGUUAGCUGAAAUGACGGUCCAUCGACUGCCAUCCUGGCGGGGCAGCCCAGCUCAUAUCAGGUUAUAUGUUUUUAAUUCCAAAAUAGCCUUCCUGGUUUAUGGAUUCGCAGGUGUUCCCCUGCAAGUUUACCUUUAUUCUGCCACUAUUAUUGAUGACAGUGUCACCAACCCACAGUCCAUACUCUGAGAGAGUCUAGGAACGAUGGAAACUCUUCUUUCUCUGAGAGUUCUAGAAAGAUCGUUUCAGGCAGAGGUCUAGGACUCUGUGAAACAGGGCGGAAGAGCUGCCUCCUUCCUCUUCCAUGGGGGUAAGAACUAAUGAGGGUGAGUAGCUGGAGAUGCGGGGGCUCCUCGGAAGACCGUGUAAAUGCAAAGGAUUUGGGCUGUGAAGCGAAAAUGGGCACGGAGGCUGUGUACUCGACUCACACGAUGCUAUUAUGACACACUAGCAGGGCAGUGUCUGGGCCAAGGUGUGUGCUGACUGAUGAAUCAUGUCUGUUAAGCUUGUAAGCACUUUGCAGAAUGAUCUGGAACGAGGGACGUGUUGAGUGAGAAGAGAGCGGCUCCUCAGGGAUUAGAGGCACAGCCUUCUUGGUUGACUUCUACUGCAGGGUCCCCAGUGUACAUGCCUUCCAGGUACCUCGUGUGGUCCCCUCAACACAGUCUCUGGGCUUAGCCCUGUGACUAUCUUUGGCCCAUGAGACAUCAGCUCGCAUGGGUGCUGAGGGGAACAGGAUGUGAGGCACUAGGAGAGUAGUCCAGAUGGUUUCCUAGGGACACGUGAGAAAGGUUCUCUGUAGCUUGCCACUUCCCAGCCCAAAGCACUUAGGAAGAUGUCCUGCAAAUCCACCUAAGCAGCCUGGAGAUCAAAUGUGUGAGUUUUGGCUGCGGUUGCCAGGUGACUCGGCCAGGGGAAGCAUCAACAAACAGAGCCGAAGAGAAUUAUUUUAUAUCAGAGAAUCCGGAGUGAAAUGUGGAUGGGCAGAAGCUGAAGUCAAUUGCCACGCGGGCAAAUGAUGUGAUAUCUUGUUAUUCGAUGUUCAUUUUUAGUACGUUCAUUUUGGGUCACCAGACCCUGGGCACAAAAGUACUGGCUGGAGCCCAGUGGAAGUUUAGGAGCCAGAGGCAUCCCCCAAUGAAAAGAGUUCUAUCUUUUCUUUUUU